GGGUCUGUUAUGACAAAUCAAUGUCAUGAAGAAAGGUGAAGACAAAAUAAUCAUGCUCAAUAGGAUUACACUAAGGCCC
ensembl:snoRNA SNORD115 Small nucleolar RNA SNORD115